ensembl:ncRNA C06E2.12 ncRNA
AGAGCAUUAGUGUCUAGGAGAUAUCAACAAAAUGUUUACUAAUACACACUAGUUGCCACAAAACAGACACUUGCACGUCCAGAAGCAGAAAGGAGGAUGCGAGAA